UACGAAGGGUGCUAGCGUUGCUCGGAAUCACUGGGCGUAAAGCGCACGUAGGCGGAUUGCUAAGUCAGGGGUGAAAUCCUGGAGCUCAACUCCAGAACUGCCUUUGAUACUGGAGAGCUUGAGUCCGGGAGAGGUGAGUGGAACUCCGAGUGUAGAGGUGAAAUUCGUAGAUAUUCGGAAGAACACCAGUGGCGAAGGCGGCUCACUGGCCCGGUACUGACGCUGAUGUGCGAAAGCGUGGGGAGCAAACAGG
rnacentral:rRNA from 1 species